UACAGAGGUCCCAAGCGUUGUUCGGAUUUACUGGGCGUAAAGCGUGCGCAGGCGGCUUUCUAAGCCAGAUGUGAAAGCCCCGGGCUCAACCUGGGAAUGGCAUUUGGGACUGCAAGGCUUGAGUGCGGCAGAGGAGACUGGAAUUCCUGGUGUAGCAGUGAAAUGCGUAGAUAUCUGGAGGAACACCGGUGGCGAAGGCGACGUCCUGGACCGGCAUUGACGCUGAGGCGCGAAAGCCAGGGGAGCAAACGGG
rnacentral:rRNA from 1 species